rnacentral:rRNA from 1 species
AAGGAUCAUUAACGAGUUAGGGUCUUCUUUUAGGCUCGACCUCCCAACCCUUUGUUUAAUUGACCUUUUGUUGCUUCGGCGAGCCCGUCUUAGGACCGCCGGAGGACCCUCACAGGUCCUCUGGUCCGCGCUCGUCGGUGGCCAACCUUUAAAAAUUCUUAAUAAAACGUGUCUUGAUCUGAGUACUUUUAUAAAUAAAAAGCAAAACUUUCAACAACGGAUCUCUUGGUUCUGGCAUCGAUGAAGAACGCAGCGAAAUGCGAUAAGUAAUGCGAAUUGCAGAAUUCCAGUGAGUCAUCGAAUCUUUGAACGCACAUUGCGCCCUUUGGCAUUCCGAAGGGCAUGCCUGUUCGAGCGUCAUUAUCACCUCUCAAGCCCCUCUGGGUUUGGCAUUGGACGGUUUGGUGGACGGAAGCGAUCACCCCUCCCAAAGAUAAUGACGGCGGCCUCGUGGGACCCCCGGUACACUGAGUUCUUCACGGGACAAGUACUGGAUUCAAGGGUUGACGGGGCUCCGGUCUUUAAGCAUCUCUCCUCACGGAGAGGUACACUUUUCUCAAGGUUGACCUCGGAUCAGGUAGGAAUACCCGCUGAACUUAA